AACCGCCAGCAAAACAAGAAGACCGGCCAUAAAUUUGUACUGCCAUUUUACCCUGGUUGUCAAUUCAAUUUUCUUUAAAAUUAAGAGCCAUGAUUUACAAAUUACAAUCCUCAAUCCUGAUUUUCAUCGAAUCAUCUGAAGUUCUGUUGGGGAGAAGCUCAAUCUGAUUCUUUUUGGGAGGGAACAAAUGGGGCUUCUCAGCAUCAUUCGAAAAAUUAAAAGGAAGGAAAAAGAAAUUCGUAUACUCAUGGUUGGGCUUGACAAUUCCGGCAAGACUACCAUUGUGCUCAGGAUUAAUGGAGAGGACACCAGCGUUGUCAGUCCCACACUCGGCUUCAACAUCAAGACCAUCACUUACCAAAAAGGCUAUCUGGAUCAUCCUUAUUGAUACUAGCAAAUAAACAGGACAUAAAAGGUGUCCUUACUCCAGAAGAAAUUGCUAAGGUUUUGAACUUGGAGGCGAUGGAUAAAACUCGGCAUUGGGAAAUUGUUGGCUGCAGUGCAUACACGGGAGAUGGACUGCUUGAGGGAUUUGAUUGGUUGGUCCAAGAUAUUGCGUCUCAGAUCUAUGUGCUGGACUAAUGCCUAUCUUGAGUAUUUUAUUUUUGGUUGUGUUUUGAGUGAUUUUUCAUUGAGGUGUCUUGGUAUUUAUGGAAAGCUGAAUGGAACUUUCAGAGUUUGAAGCAAACUUUGCUGUUAAAAGUGAGAGGGAAAAUGAAUCGUUGUAGUUGUA